CAUAUGCUUGUCUCAAAGAUUAAGCCAUGCAUGUGUAAGCACACACUGUUUUAAAAGUGAAGCCGCGAAUGGCUCAUUACAACAGCCACAGUUUAUUAGAACUUACAAUCAUGGAUAACUGUGGUAAUUCUAGAGCUAAUACACGCACAAAAACUUCAACUGAAUUGGUUGAAGUGCUUUUAUUAGAACAAAAACCGAACGGCGUUUGACGAAUGUUGAACGUCGAAACUGUUUGGUGAAUCUGAAUAACUAUUUCUGAUCGCAUGGUCUAGCACCGGCGACAUCACUUUCAAGUGUCUGCCUUAUCAACCUUCGAUGGUAGUCUAUGCGACUACCAUGGUGAUAACGGGUAACGGAGAAUCAGGGUUCGACUCCGGAGAGGGAGCCUGAGAAACGGCUACCACAUCCAAGGAAGGCAGCAGGCGCGCAAAUUACCCACUCCCUCUCUUGUUUUACGUAUUGUCCAAACUUAACCACUCUUUGUCUCGUUUUGCAACGGUAUCCUUCUUUUAUGACCCUUACCUACGCUCUAACAAGCAGGGGGGGG
rnacentral:ncRNA from 1 species